UGGGGAAUAUUGCGCAAUGGGGGGAACCCUGACGCAGCCAUGCCGCGUGAAUGAAGAAGGCCUUCGGGUUGUAAAGUUCUUUCGGUAUUGAGGAAGGUUGAUGUGUUAAUAGCACAUCAAAUUGACGUUAAAUACAGAAGAAGCACCGGCUAACUCCGUGCCAGCAGCCGCGGUAAUACGGAGGGUGCGAGCGUUAAUCGGAAUAACUGGGCGUAAAGGGCACGCAGGCGGUUAUUUAAGUGAGGUGUGAAAGCCCUGGGCUUAACCUAGGAAUUGCAUUUCAGACUGGGUAACUAGAGUACUUUAGGGAGGGGUAGAAUUCCACGUGUAGCGGUGAAAUGCGUAGAGAUGUGGAGGAAUACCGAAGGCGAAGGCAGCCCCUUGGGAAUGUACUGACGCUCAUGUGCGAAAGCGUGGGGAGCAAACAGGAUUAGAUACCCUGGUAGUCCACGCUGUAAACGCUGUCGAUUUGGGGGGUUGGGGUUUAACUCUGGCGCCCGUAGCUAACGUGAUAAAUCGACCGCCUGGGGAGUACGGCCGCAAGGUUA
rnacentral:rRNA from 1 species